rnacentral:rRNA from 1 species
AUUGAACGCUGGCGGCAUGCCUUACACAUGCAAGUCGAACGGCAGCACGGGAGCAAUCCUGGUGGCGAGUGGCGAACGGGUGAGUAAUAUAUCGGAACGUGCCCAGUCGUGGGGAUAACGUAGCGAAAGCUACGCUAAUACCGCAUACGAUCUAUGGAUGAAAGCGGGGGAUCGCAAGACCUCGCGCGAUUGGAGCGGCCGAUAUCAGAUUAGGUAGUUGGUGAGGUAAAGGCUCACCAAGCCGACGAUCUGUAGCUGGUCUGAGAGGACGACCAGCCACACUGGGACUGAGACACGGCCCAGACUCCUACGGAGGCAGCAGUGGGGAAUAUUGGACAAUGGGCGGAAAGACCUGAUCCAGCCAUGCCGCCGUGUG